rnacentral:rRNA from 1 species
CCUACGGGAGGCAGCAGUGGGGGAUAUUGCACAAUGGGGGGAACCCUGAUGCAGCGACGCCGCGUGGGUGAAGAAGCGCCUCGGCGCGUAAAGCCCUGUCAGCAGGGAAGAAAAUGACGGUACCUGAAGAAGAAGCCCCGGCUAACUACGUGCCAGCAGCCGCGGGAAUACGUAGGGGGCAAGCGUUAUCCGGAUUUACUGGGCGUAAAGGGGGCGUAGUCGGGGAUGCAAGCGAGGAGUGAAAGCCCGGGGCCCAACCCCGGGACUGCUCUUGGAACUGCGUGGCUGGAGUGCAGGAGGGGCAGGCGGAAUGCCUGGUGUAGCGGUGAAAUGCGUAGAUAUCAGGAAGAACACCGGUGGCGAAGGCGGCCUGCUGGACUGCAACUGACGUUGAGGCCCGAAAGCGUGGGGAGCAAACAGGAUUAGAUACCCGAGUAGUC